GACGAACGCUGGCGGCGUGCUUAACACAUGCAAGUCGAACGGGCCCGCCCCUGUUUUUGGGGGUGGGUUGAGUGGCGAACGGGUGAGUAUCACGUGAGUAACCUGCCCCCUGCUCCUGGAUAACUGCUUGAAAGGGCGGCUAAUACGGGGUGUGCCGGCUGGUCCGCAUGGGCCUGGUCGGGAUAGUUUCAUCUUCGGGUGUUUCGGUGGGGGAUGGGCUCGCGGCCUAUCAGCUUGUUGGUGGGGUGAUGGCCCACCAAGGCGGUGACGGGUAGCCGGCCUGAGAGGGUGGGCGGCCACACUGGGACUGAGACACGGCCCAGACUCCUGCGGGAGGCAGCAGUGGGGGGUAUUGCACAAUGGGCGGAAGCCUGAUGCAGCGACGUCGCGUGAGGGAGGGAGGCCUUCGGGUUGUGAACCUCUUUCUCCGGUGGUGAAGGCCCUGUCCGUUGCGGCGGGGUUGACGGUAGCCGGGUAUGAAGCGCCGGCUAACUACGUG
rnacentral:rRNA from 1 species